rnacentral:rRNA from 1 species
GACGAACGCUGGCGGCGUGCCUAAUACAUGCAAGUAGGACGCAGUCGCGUACGGGUGAGUAGGGCGUAGGUAACUACCUAUUAGAGGGGGCUAAAUAUUGGAAACGAUAGCUAAUACCGCAUACUAGUAGAUGGACCUGCUUUGUAUUAGGUAGUAGGUAGGGUAAUGGCCUACCUAGGCAACGAUACAUAGUCGACCUUGGAGGGUGGUCGGCCAAAACGGGACUGAGGCCAGGCGCCGACUCCCACGGGAGGCAGCAGUAGGGGAUCUUCGGACAUGGGGGGAACGCUGACCGAGCAACGCCGCGUGAGUGAAGAAGGUUUUCGGAUCGUAAAGGUCUGUUGUUAAGGAAGCGGUACUUAACCAGAAAGCGACGGCUAACUACGUGCCAGCAGCCGCGGUAAUAC